rnacentral:rRNA from 1 species
GACGGAGGGUGCAAGCGUUAUUCGGAUUUAUUGGGCGUAAAGGGAGUGUAGGCGGUCAGCCAAGUCUGAUGUGAAAGCCCGGGGCUUAACCUCGGAAGGGCGUUGGAAACUGGUUGACUUGAGCUCGGGAGAGGGAAGCGGAAUUCCGGGUGUAGAGGUGAAAUUCGUAGAUAUCCGGAGGAACACCGGUGGCGAAGGCGGCUUCCUGGACCGAAACUGACGCUGAGACUCGAAAGCGUGGGGAGCAAACAGG